GGCCCUUAGUAUGGAGUUGUUACUAUACAGUACUCUGCUCCGUCAUUCCAGAUCACAAAUAAAUGCCUUCUUGAAACCAUCCUAUGGAACCAGAGAGCUCGGGGUAAUAGGAGUCUGUGGACUGCAUCUUCAAGAGCAUCUUCAAGGACCAUACAGAUGACCCAGAAAAUACUGAAGAUCAUUGUCCUGCCUAAGGAGAGGAGCCUUUAAAGGUGAGCAUAUGCCAGCCAUUACCUAGAAGCACCAGCUUCUGCAUUAGACAUCAACAGCUCAGGAACAAAGUGGUUCAGAGAUUUACCACUCAGGCUGUACACCGUAAGCUUAUGCUUUUCUCUGAUGCCAUUUAGUUUAUGAUAGUGUUAUUAAAAUGAAAGGAUUGUUUUUAAUGAGCUGGGAGGGAAUCCACUUAACCAAAUUGUUCAUAAACAGCAUAAAACACAUCAAGACUUUGCCUUGCGCCAAUCUACCAAUACAGUAUCCUGCCGUUGCAAGAAC
rnacentral:lncRNA from 1 species